rnacentral:rRNA from 1 species
AUAAUCUGUAUUUUUAAAUGUUCGUCCUGGUUUUGUAACUAAAAUGGUUUGGCAGUGAGCGAUUCUUGUUAGGGGAAGAUGCAUAGUAAAGGAUGGUCCACCUAUUAUUUCACUCUUGUUAUGUUGGUGUAUAUCUGGUUUGAUAUUAUCGUUUAAUGGUUUGAGUUUGUGUAGUUUUAGUUAAGCCAAGUCUAUGUGCUGCUUAUGAGAGUUUUUGUGUGUUACAUUGAUAAGGGUGUUGUUGUAAUAUGAUAUUAUUUAGGACUUAAUAGUAAUGUUUAAAUUAGUUUGUUGAUGUGAAAUGAGUUUAGCUCAGGUACACACCGCCCG